rnacentral:rRNA from 1 species
AACGCGAAGAACCUUACCUACCCUUGACAUCCAACGAAGACUGCAGAGAUGCGGAUGUGCCGAAAGGAACGUUGAGACAGGUGCUGCAUGGCUGUCGUCAGCUCGUGUUGUGAGAUGUUGGGUUAAGUCCCGUAACGAGCGCAACCCUUAUCCUUAGUUGCCAACAUGUAAUGGUGGGGACUCUAAGGAGACUGCCGGUGAUGAACCGGAGGAAGGCGGGGACGACGUCAAGUCAUCAUGGCCUUUAUGGGUAGGGCUACACACGUGCUACAAUGGACAGUACAGAGGGCAGCGAAAGCGCGAGCUGGAGCCAAUCCCGAAAAGCUGUUCGUAGUCCGGAUCGGAGUCUGCAACUCGACUCCGUGAAGUCGGAAUCGCUAGUAAUCGCGAAUCAGAAUGUCGCGGUGAAUACGUUCCCGGGCCUUGUACACACCGGAGUA